rnacentral:rRNA from 1 species
GACGAACGCUGGCGGCGUGCUUAACACAUGCAAGUCGAACGGAAAGGCCCUGCUUUUGUGGGGUGCUCGAGUGGCGAACGGGUGAGUAACACGUGGGUAACCUGCCCUUGACUUUGGGAUAACUUCAGGAAACUGGGGCUAAUACCGGAUAGGAGCUCCUGCUGCAUGGUGGGGGUUGGAAAGUUUCGGCGGUUGGGAAUGGACUCGCGGCUUAUCAGCUUGUUGGUGGGGUAGUGGCUUACCAAGGCUUUGACGGGUAGCCGGCCUGAGAGGGUGACCGGCCACCUUGGGACUGAGAUACGGCCCAGACUCCCACGGGAGGCAGCAGUGGGGAAUAUUGCACAAUGGGCGGAAGCCUGAUGCAGCAACGCCGCGUGCGGGAUGACGGCCUUCGGGUUGUAAACCGCUUUCGCCUGUGACGAAGCGUGAGUGACGGUAAUGGGUAAAGAAGCACCGGCUAACUACGUG